AUAUUAGAUAAAUUUAAAAAUUGUGAAAUUUAAGAGUUUGAACUUGUUAAUGAACCAAUUCAUCAAUAAAAAAAGAAUCGUGUAAAAAUGAAUUCAGUGAGGACUGAAAAGUAGAUCACUUGGCCAUGGACAAAUAACUUGCCAUUACAUUUCAUUAAUUAAUAAUGAUUAUCAAUAAUUAAUUAUAAGAAAAUAUCCCUUUACAUGGUUAUUAUAUAUUAAAAAGAAAAAAAUAAAAAUAUGUUCAAGUGUGAUUAUAAAAAAAUUCAAAUUUAUAUAAAAAUGAG
rnacentral:misc_RNA from 1 species